ensembl:misc_RNA Metazoa_SRP Metazoan signal recognition particle RNA
GCCAGCCGUGUUAGUGCAUGCCUGUAGUCCCAGCUACUCGGGAGAGGCUGAGGUGGGAGGAACGCUUGAGCCCAGGAGUUCUGGGCUGUAGUGUGCUAUGCCAAUCGGAUGUCCGCACUAAGUUCGGCAUCAAUAUGGUGACCUCCUGGGAGUGGGGGACCACCAGGUUGCCUAAGGAGGGGUAAACCUGCCCAGGUUGGAAAUGGAGCAGGUCAGAACUCCUGUGCUGAUCAGUAGUGGGAUCACACAUGUGAAUAGCCACUGCACUCCAGCCUGGGCAACUCAGCAAGACCUCGUCUCUU